rnacentral:rRNA from 1 species
CAUAUCAUAGCGGAGGAAAAGAAACCAACAGGGAUUCCCUAGUAACGGCGAGUGAAGCGGGAACAGCUCAAAUUUGAAAGCUGGCCUUCUGGUCCGCAUUGUAAUUUGUAGAGGAUGCUUUUGGCGCGGUGCCUUCUGAGUUCCUUGGAACAGGACGCCUUAGAGGGUGAGAGCCCCGUACAGUUGGACACCUAGCCUUUGUAAAGCUCCUUCGACGAGUCGAGUAGUUUGGGAAUGCUGCUCUAAAUGGGAGGUAAAUUUCUUCUAAAGCUAAAUACCGGCCAGAGACCGAUAGCGCACAAGUAGAGUGAUCGAAAGAUGAAAAGCACUUUGAAAAGAGGGUUAAAUAGCACGUGAAAUUGUUGAAAGGGAAGCGCUUAUGACCAGACUUUUUCCUGGCGAAUCAUCCGGCGUUCUCGCCGGUGCACUUCGCCAGGUUUAGGCCAACAUCGAUUUCCGCCGGGGGAUAAAGGCUUCGGGAAUGUGACUCCCUCCGGGGAGUGUUAUAGCCCGUUGCGUAAUACCCUGGUGGGGAUCGAGGUUCGCGCUUCGGCAAGGAUGUUGGCAUAAUGGUCAUCAGUGACCCGUCUUGAAACACGGACCAAGGAGUCGAACAUUUAUGCGAGUGUUUGGGUGUUAAACCCUCACGCGUAAUGAAAGUGAACGGAGGUGAGAGCCUUAGGGUGCAUCAUCGACCGAUCCUGAUGUCUUCGGAUGGAUUUGAGUAAGAGCAUAACUGUUCGGACCCGAAAGAUGGUGAACUAUGCGUGGAUAGGGUGAAGCCAGAGGAAACUCUGGUGGAGGCUCGCAGCGGUUCUGACGUGCAAAUCGAUCGUCAAAUCUGCGCAUGGGGGGCGAAAGACUAAUCGAACCAUCUAGUAGCUGGUUACCGCCGA